UUAGAUGUGAUGAUGGUGGAGAGGUGAAAGAAGGAUUGUAUAUUUGCAUGAGAAGAUUGAUACCAGAUAUGGCAGAAAGAAGAAAAAUACAUUUACAAAUUGUUGAAUUUCAUUAUGCUAGAAGACUUUUUGGAAUGGAAGAUGCAAAAGAGUGUAGGAAAGAGUUAAAUCCUGGGGAAUGGUGGGACAUGUUUGGUGAUGGAACUCCAGAGUUGAAGAGAUUUGCUAUUCGAAUUCUAAGCUUGACUUGUAGUUCUUCUGGAUGUGAGCGUAAUUAGAGCUCAUUUGAAAUGGUUCAUACAAAGAGAAGGAAUUGUUUGCAU